GUAUCCAUGAUUGAAUGGUUAAAGCGCUCAAUUCAUAAUUAGUGAAUUCAUAGGUUCAAUUCCUAUUAGAUGCA